rnacentral:misc_RNA from 1 species
GUGGACCUGCUGGGGGGGCUGGUGCACGUGGGGAUCGGCGACCCGGUGGUGAACAAGUGCUGCCCGCUGCUGGAGGGGCUCGUGGAGCUGGAGGCCGCCGUGUGCCUCUGCACCACCAUCAGGCUCAAGCUCCUCAACAUCAACAUCUACCUGCCCCUCGCGCUCCAGCUCCUCCUCACCUGCGGCAAGAACCCUCCCCCCGGCUACACCUGCUCCAUCUAGUUCAG